rnacentral:rRNA from 1 species
GUGUCAGCCGCCGCGGUAAUACGGGGGGAGCCAGCGUUGUUCGGAAAUACUGGGCGUAAAGCGCACGUAGGCGGCUUUUCAAGUCAGGGGUGAAAUCCCGGGGCUCAACCCCGGAACUGCCCUUGAAACUGAAUCGCUAGAAUACUGGAGAGGCAAGUGGAAUUCCGAGUGUAGAGGUGAAAUUCGUAGAUAUCGGGAGGAAUACCGGUGGCGAAGGCGACCUUCUGGACGGAUACUGACGCUGAGGCGCGAAAGCGUGGGGAGCAAACAGGAUUAGAUACCCUGGUAGUCCACAGCCGUAAACGAUGUGCACUAGAUGUAGGGAGGUGUUGACCCUCUCUGUGUCGGAGCUAACGCAUUAAGUGCACCGCCUGGGGAGUACGGCCGCAAGGUUAAAACUCAAAGGAAUUGACGGGG